rnacentral:lncRNA from 1 species
GGGGCAAAUGGAUAUAAUUUUCAAUAAGUUUGAAUUGACUAAAUUAAUUUUAUAUUAUAUAAUAUAUUUUAAUUUGAAUUUAUAUUUUAAAAAAUUUAUAUUUACAAUAUAAUACGUUUUGAAAUACGGUAAAAGAAAAUAAUUGUUUCGAAUUUGAAUUCAAAUUUCAGAUUUUUAGUCAGGUACGGAUUUGAAUGUGAAUUUUUAAAAUCCAUCAGAUUGGAUUCAGGUUGUAAUUUAGUUUUCGGGUUUAUAGUCGGGUUUCAGUUUAGAUUUUUGAAAAUUCUGUUGGCAUCCCUAGGCUCUAAUUGCGAAAAAAAAGUAUUAAAUUUAAUUGAUUGGUUUUUUCAUCUCUAACCAAUCACAUUUAGCCGCUAGAAUUCAUCAAAUUUAUCACAAUUUUUUAAACAAUAUUUUAAUUAUAGUUUUUUUUUUUAAGUAGGGAAAUUUAAUUGAUUUAGUGGUAUGGGUCACAUAGUGUGCGCCCUUAGUGCCCAACCUUUACCAAAUUUCUAGCAAUUAGAUUCUCAAUCGUUAAAACAAAAUUAAUUGCACUAUUGAUUGCUAAUCUUGAGUAGAGCUACUAUGCUAUCAGAAACAUAGAGGAUCUACUGCUUUCGACUUUUUGGCCUUUAAAUCAGUUCUUUUAAUCAUUUCUAACUUUUAGAUUAAUAUUAUUAACCUAUGGAGACCACUCAACUCCAGGGAUACUACUCAAUCCUAGGGAGGACCGUAAUCAUCCCAACCGUAUAAUUCUUGAUUUAAGCAUUAAAAAAUCGGAAGUAUCAAAUCCUCUAUACUUCCGAUAGCAUAGUAGUUUUACACGCUAAUCUUUAUCUAUCUUAUUAAUUUGGGUCCUAUACUCUCAAUAUCUUUCUAUGCACCCACAACCUUCUCAACCUUGUACAUAAUACCUACUAU